rnacentral:rRNA from 1 species
UACGAAGGGGGCUAGCGUUGUUCGGAAUUACUGGGCGUAAAGCGCACGUAGGCGGAUACUUAAGUCAGGGGUGAAAUCCCGGGGCUCAACCCCGGAACUGCCUUUGAUACUGGCCAUCUUGAGUAUGGGAGAGGUGUGUGGAACUCCGAGUGUAGAGGUGAAAUUCGUAGAUAUUCGGAAGAACACCAGUGGCGAAGGCGACACAC